UCCGGCUUGACGCCGGCAGUCUCGCCAGAGUACUCGCCAUGACGCGUGAGCAACUGACGACAGGGGUUGCGCUCGUUAGAGGACUUAACCCGACACUUCACAGCACGAGCUGACGACAGCCAUGCAGCACCUGUGCACGUUCCACCCUUGCGGGUGUGGCCCCACUUUCAUGGGGUUAAUCCGUGCAUGUCAAACCCAGGUAAGGUUCUUCGCGUUGCCUCGAAUUAAGCAACAUGCUCCACCGCUUGUGUGAGCCCCCGUCAAUUCCUUUGAGUUUUAGCCUUGCGACCGUACUCCCCAGGCGGCGCGCUUAGCGUUUUUACUUCGACCGAUCCCGCGUGAGAGCGGCACCGAUCUAGCGCGCAUCGUUUACGGCGUGGACUAC
rnacentral:misc_RNA from 1 species